rnacentral:misc_RNA from 1 species
GAAAUGCGAUAAGUAAUGUGAAUUGCAGAAUUCAGUGAACCAUCGAAUCUUUGAACGCACAUUGCGCCCGCCAGUAUUCUGGCGGGCAUGCCUGUCCGAGCGUCAUUUCAACCAUCAAGCCCCCGGGCUUGUGUUGGGGACCUGCGGCUGCCCGCAGGCCCUGAAAACCAGUGGCGGGCUCGCUGUCACACCGAGCGUAGUAGCAAUCACCUCGCUCAGGGCGUGCUGCGGGUUCCGGCCGUUAAACAGCCUUACAAAACCCAAGGUUGACCUCGGAUCAGGUAGGAAGACCCGCUGAACUUAAGC